GUUGGUGUGGCAGAGCCCGGAAAUUGCAAAAGACCUAAACCCUUUAUACAGAGGUUCAAAUCCUCUCCCCAACU
rnacentral:tRNA from 1 species